UUCCAGAAAGCAGAAGAAGAAAAGGGAGAGAACUUACAGGAAUAUACGGUGCAGUAGUUCUGAUAUGACUUCUGCCAGUUCCUUUAAAACUAUGGGAUGUAAUCCACCAGGCUCUGGUGAUUUGUGUUCAUCAAGAUCAGACAGGUGUUCUUUUAUUAUUAUUUUUUGCUUAUUUUAACUUUUAUUUCUGGUCUGU